AGACAUGGACGAAACAGGUCAAUGUGUAGUAUUCAUUCUUAUAAGCUUAAUAUAUGAUACGGAUUCUAUUUGAACGCAAGAUAUUCUACUUAUUUUUGCAAGUUGGCGGAAUGCUUGAAGCCUGCUUCAUCUCCGCCGCAGGUCAGCCCAGUGUUGCACUAUCUCCGGGAUCGGCCCAUGGUUU